UGAACCUCUUAAUGGAAUAAUUGAAUCUAACAAUAUAAUAUUCUAAAACCUCUGAACUUACUCUAGGACAGCUCAAAAUGGUCUAUAAAAUUUAGCAAUCAUUAUUGGAGCCAACAGUUAUAGGACCUCAAUCUCUGGUCUCCCAGUCACAGGCUGAGGUAUGGCUGUUUCAAAGAACAUAAUAAUUCCUACAAUAACAAUAGGUAUCCACAGAUGCUUAAUACCUAAUACACAAAAUUGCAUUAUAUGCAUAACUCGAAUUGCAAUCCCUGAAGGUAUUGCGGUGUGAAUGCUGACGCUGAAAUGCUCCGCUACACUGCUGAAGCUGAACAUUGAAGAAUCAUUACACUGAAUCUACGAAAUAUGCUGAACAUCUUGAAUGUAGAAUGAAGUCUGUAGGAUGAAGUAUGAAUGAGUUGAAGGGUUUUGAAGUCCCACCGCUAACGUCGCUAACGACAACUCGUCAGCGCUAACGUCAACGCUAAUAUCCAUUUGGAUGGUAUGCAGUUACGAACGACCAGCUUUAGCGAGAACGUGACGUAUUUCCCUUGCUCCAGCCUUCCAGUUUGUCAUUUGUGUUUCUGUCGAGCCACGAGGGGGAGUAGCAGCAGGCUAGUCAAUCAUCAUUAGCAACAUAGUCUCUUUAGAAAACCAGUUGGAAAACACAACUUUACAUUGAAUUGCACGCAAAACAAGACUGUGCAAUGCAUAAAUCGGUGACCGGAUUAAAGCAGCAAUGAAAUCAAAUGUGUAAGAGGAUUUAAAAACGACAUUAAAACCACCAACGUGGUACAAAUACAAAGAAAAUACAUCUCAACCCCCAUUAACUAUGGGCGCAGCCAUCUUCUUUGCGAGUUGUACAGCUCUGCUCGCUCCACUUUGCAAGCGACGAGAUACUACGACCAAAAGGGGGUGUGCCUUAGUGAAAUGGCGCAAGAAAGAUGGGAGAUUUGCAACUUACCACGUGCACGUACCGGCGUACCAUCCAAAUGGAUAGCAGCAUUAGGUCACCGCUAACGUCCAUUAUUGUAGUCCACUAUUCUAGGCCAUGAGGGAGAGAGAGACUGUAACAAAUAGGGAUGCACCGAAAUGAAAAUUCUUGGCCGAAAGCCGAAACCGAAUACCGAAUGUGGCUUUUGCUGUUUUUCAUUCAUUUCAUUCCUUCAUUUUAGGUGCGCUCGGCUCGUUUUUCAUCUCUGUGUAUUGUCAUUUAGUUGUUUACAAAUGUACGUGCGGCUCCUUUUUUAAUCUCUUUUGUUGCAGUGCACCCGGCUUAUCCCACACUUGUUGCUUUUUUUUUUCUCACAUCAUCAAAAAUAGAAAUGUUCGGUAUUAUUUUUCAGCCUUUUUACUCCUUCGGCCAAACAUUUUCGGUUGCCGAAUUUUCGGUGCAUCCCUAGUAACAAAAACUACACUUCCCUCCCCCACAGUGACUUUAACCAGACUCCAGAGUGGCGUGUUUGCCACUGAUUGCUCAACGAGCAACAGCUGAGGCAAACGGUUAGAGUGAGACCAACUGAAAACUAAUCCGGAAUAAAACUAAAACUGUGAUUCUCAAAAAAGUAUAAAUGAUAUCGAAAUUCUGUUGAAAUAUUAUUGAAGAUACAAAUAUGUAGAUCUGUUUAAUUGUUUGAAUUCACCAAGUUAUGAUGUCUUAAGUUGUUGAAAUGUUGAAGACGAUGAAGGAUGAAUCAGCAUUUAUUUGAAUUUUCCAAUGGGAAUGAAUGGGGGAACUUGGGUGAAUAACCUUGAAUAUCUCGGGAAUUAUGAAUAAUAUGAAUACAGAAAUGAAUAGCAUAAUGGUACUAACGGAGCUGAAUGUUUGAUGUUUCUACGUUGAAGUAUGUUGAAAGAGUCUAGAACGGAAAAAUGGCGGAAUAAUAAUUAUAAUAAAAAUAAAUAUCGAACAGAAAAAUGGUGUGAAUGCUUGCAGCAUUCACACCAAAUAUAGCAUUUCUAAGAUGUGAAUGCUGUAAGCAUUACCAUCAAUUAAUGUCCACAACCAUAAUAGUUUCGUGCGACAUCUGUUAUCUCUGGUCAAAUUAAACGGAAUAUAUAAUCAGGAUCCUAUUCUGAUUGCUUGGUGGUGGAUUAAUCCUUGCGACUGUUUAGACCAUUUGUGCCAAUUCUUUAUUAUGUUUUGUAUAAUUUCUAUUUUCAUUAUUUAGCAACCCCUAUGCCUACUUUAGUUUUGCACAUCAAGUCAUCCCCAGUAUCCAUGGGGAUAUACUUUAAAGUUGCAUUGUUUUUUGGAAUAACAAUGAAAUGAUCUAAUAAUGCAUUGAAUUGAUCACAGCCCUUUGAAUUUGAUAUUUUUCCAUACAUUUUCGAUUUGUGGUGUGCAAUAUAUUGGACAUACUACUUGCAUCACGCAAGUGACCUCCUCCGCUAUAUGUUUAAAGCAACAUAGAGCAACAUUCUGUUGGCUGACCGUCAUGCUGACCGUAAUCUUAAAUGAAAAACAGCAAGUCCGACCACGAAUUCUGCACGGGCUUUCAUUCUGAUUGUGUUAAAACCCAAAGCCAUCACCCCAACCAACCAGCCAUCAUCUUUGGCAUAGAUCAGUCGUUAUCAAAUGGGGGACAACCCUAGGAGUAUUGCAGGGGGUAUUAAGAAUUUUUCUAAAAAUAAAAGUUUAAAAACCUAACAAAAUGUUCUAUCAACCUGAGCAAGUUUCAAUUACGAAAGCUAGAGAAUAGAAAACUGAGAAAACUGACAAAAUGUUUGAAAUGUAAACGAGGAGAAAGGAGCAUCCGGGGAAAAAUAAGUGCAUCCAGAAACGCCAAAAUGUCGUCAGUUUCAGGAAGAAUAUAUUGUAAUGAUGUAUUUAUUGUUUAAACUCUACAUGCUCUGACCCUCCCCUGGCUUUAUUAGCCAACAGUUGCAUGAAUCACAGGCCCAUGUUUCUCACUAAGUAUUGAGUAUUGGCACCCUUUUAAUGUUUACACUGUCAAAUAGAACGCACAUACAUUAUUUAUCUUCAUUUUAUCCCCCCAAAACAUUUGUGCCGGUGAAGGGGGGACUCGGCUGGAAAAAUAUCUUGGAGGGGGUACACUAGUGGAAAGGUUUUGAGGUGGCAUAGACUACUGCUGGCAUAGACUAUUGCUGGUUGUUAUGAAUGAAUAACCACAUUAAAACUCCCGAACUAUAAAAUGGCCUAUGAUCACGUUUAAGUCAACUUAAUCAGUUAGCCACACCCUAUGCGACUGGUCUUGAGGCUUGCCUUGCUGUCGGUUGUCCAAACUAUCUUUGGGAAGUCCACACAUCAGGAAUCUACAACCAGGUUCUCCACGCCCUCUCCUCAACUCUUGACGGGAGUGAGGACCGCAGGAUAAGGACUCUGGUUGCUCUGGUUAAUACCCAUCAAGAAGCAGCUCAGGCCAUUUAAAAUUCCAAGGAAGAAAAUCUCGGCCUGGUCAACAUUUUAAUUAUGUAUGCGAGUCAAUCCGUUGCCAGGAUCGUCUUUAGUAUCUUCCAAUGGUUCCCCCUACAUAGGGGCCAGAUAAAUAGGGCUGGGUAAAAAUAUUGAUUCAUCAAUGCACUGCAAUUUAUUUGUUCUCGAUUCAAUUUUGAAUCAGAACUUUUUUUAAAUCGAUUAUUACCAUUUUUUUU